AGUGAACGCUGGCGGUAGGCCUAACACAUGCAAGUCGAACGGCAGCACAGUAAGAGCUUGCUCUUACGGGUGGCGAGUGGCGGACGGGUGAGGAAUACAUCGGAAUCUACUUUUUCGUGGGGGAUAACGUAGGGAAACUUACGCUAAUACCGCAUACGACCUACGGGUGAAAGCAGGGGAUCUUCGGACCUUGCGCGAUUGAAUGAGCCGAUGUCGGAUUGGCUAGUUGGCGGGGUAAAGGCCCACCAAGGCGACGAUCCGUAGCUGGUCUGAGAGGAUGAUCAGCCACACUGGAACUGAGACACGGUCCAGACUCCUACGGGAGGCAGCAGUGGGGAAUAUUGGACAAUGGGCGCAAGCCUGAUCCAGCCAUACCGCGUGGGUGAAGAAGGCCUUCGGGUUGUAAAGCCCUUUGUUGGGAAAGAAAAGCAGCAGGUUAAUACCCCGCUGUUCUGACGGUACCCAAAGAAUAAGCACCGGCUAACUUCGUG
rnacentral:rRNA from 1 species